GAGGAAGUGGAGCGGCGGAGGAAGAGGGAGGAGGCGCGCAGGAGAGGAAGUGAGCAGGUCCUCUGCCCGCUCGCGGGAACUUUGCCCUUGCAGGGAGUUUUCCGAGCUGUCACUGGGGCAGGCCAGCACCCAGCCCCCGGGGCCCUUAGUCGGCUCAGCCAAUGGCGACGGCACUUGCGUUUCUGCAGCAGCUCUCCCGCUCAAGAGAGGGGAAGUGACCCAGUGAGGAUUCCACAGCAAGAGCGAGCACAGGCGGGUGCCCAGCCUCCUGGAUCAUGCCGCUCCUGAAUCCCGCACACCAGCACCAACCAGCCAGGGCACCCAGAGAAAAGCCGCCCUCCUGAGAAGUUCCCAGCCUGGCUUAUUUGGUUGAAUUUUUUCAGAAACAGACAUGAGGUUCCGUGGGCAUCCCCCCUCUACACACACGCAGCUGAGCCCCUGCUGAUCCCUCGGCCCUUCUGCCAGGAGGGCUAGUUGCCCGCCUCCCUGAGAAGCGGUGGUGAGACGGGGAGCCCCCGAGGGAGUCUGACGGCUGUCCCAAGCAGAUUGGGGGCAUCCCGGUCUCAGGCGCCUGCCCCAGGGGGUGUGGAGGCCUUUGAGGGCCUGGUCCACGUCCGCCCACUGGGAGUGGCUGGUGACCUGCCCCUGGUCACCCAAGUCAGUGCUCUGGCGCCCCUGGUUUUCCGGCCAGCGGCCUGAGAAGCCGGGCGACCAGGUGGAACCAAGUAGGGUGGGGUUAGCAGCAACUUCAAGUUCAGGGCCAAGU
ensembl:lncRNA